rnacentral:rRNA from 1 species
GAUAAACGCUGGCGGCGCACAUAAGACAUGCAAGUCGAACGGACUUAACCUUUAGUUUACUAUUGGAGCGGUUAGUGGCGGACUGGUGAGUAACACGUAAGCAACCUGCCUAUCAGAGGGGAAUAACAGUUAGAAAUGACUGCUAAUACCGCAUAUGCCUUGAGUAACACAUGUUACAAAAGGGAAAGGAGCAAUCCGCUGAUAGAUGGGCUUGCGUCUGAUUAGAUAGUUGGUGGGGUAACGGCCGUACCAAGUCGACGAUCAGUAGCCGGACUGAGAGGUUGAACGGCCACAUUGGGACUGAGAUACGGCCCAG